UAGGGAAUCUUCGGCAAUGGGGGCAACCCUGACCGAGCAACGCCGCGUGAGUGAAGAAGGUUUUCGGAUCGUAAAGCUCUGUUGUAAGAGAAGAACGUGUGUGAGAGUGGAAAGUUCACACAGUGACGGUAACUUACCAGAAAGGGACGGCUAACUACGUGCCAGCAGCCGCGGUAAUAAGUAGGUCCUGAGCGUUGUCCGGAUUUAUUGGGCGUAAAGCGAGCGCAGGCGGUUUAAUAAGUCUGAAGUUAAAGGCAGUGGCUUAACCAUUGUUCGCUUUGGAAACUGUUAAGCUUGAGUGCAGAAGGGGAGAGUGGAAUUCCAUGUGUAGCGGUGAAAUGCGUAGAUAUAUGGAGGAACACCGGUGGCGAAAGCGGCUCUCUGGUCUGUAACUGACGCUGAGGCUCGAAAGCGUGGGGAGCAAACAGG
rnacentral:rRNA from 1 species